ensembl:snRNA U6 U6 spliceosomal RNA
GUGUUCGCUUUGGCAGCACAUAUACUAAAAUUGGAAUGAUACAGAGAAGGUUAGCAUGGCCCUGCUCAAGGAUGAUGCACAAAUUUGUGAAGCGUUCCAUUAAAAA